UUAAGUGAUCAGGAGAUCACUGAAGAACGAAAUUACAUUUGAAAUCUGUUUGAAACAACAUCAUUGUCUCUCUUUUUCAGAAAAUGUUGCUGUCCUGACCCCAGUAAUCAUGAAGAGAAGGGGAUGAAGCGAAUUUGUCUGGAGAAGUAGGAAAUUUUAAAAUUUCCAGCAGGAUUUAUUGCCAGUGGCUGCAGAAGGUUUUGCAAAGCCAACUGUUGGUGUUAGAAUGGAUGAAAUUCCUCAAACUUAAGCGGUGACCUCUUAUACUGGCUGCGAUCCACUAAUUCUCUCAUAAGUUACCUGCUCCCGAUACUACAGUGGUUUGUUUGUCUUUGGAUACUUUUUACUGAUGCACUUACCCUUAAUUUGCUGCUAGAUCUCGGAACGUUGUAAAUAGGCCUUUUUAGGAAGCAAGAAUCUAAUCGGAUUACCUGGGCAGAUCCUGAGGAUAUUUC
rnacentral:lncRNA from 1 species